CGUGUUUCUCAGGCAAAACCGCAAAGUUCGCAUGCCAGUCAAGUCCACUCUAAGCGCGCGUCUCUAAGCCCACUGUGAAGCCUCAAUUAAGCCCCAAAUUUACUCACGCAAGUGUCAGACGGAUUUGUCAACUUUUUUCACGCUUAAAUUGUUGGUGUUUAUAGAUGAACUAUUGUGAUUAAGUGUAUACGAGUGUUAAUUGAGGAUUUCAUAAAAUAAAUUCAGGAACAUGGAACUUCAAACUUCACCAAUACAUCAUACACUCCAAAAGAUGCUAGAAGUGAACUAAAUAAGAUAAUUUGUUCGUAAUCGAACAUCCCUGAAAACUCUAGCGCUAACAUCAGCAAUUUGCAUCAAGUGACAUUGCAUAUUGUAUUAAACAUGAUUCUGUUAUGAGAAUCGUCCCUCAAGUGAUGAAAAAGUGAUGAAAGCCGGGACAAAACCAGUGACGAAAAAGGCGCCAAAACUUGCCGCCAAAAAUGGCAGCAACCAAAAUAUCAACAACAUCAACAACAACAACAACGUUAAUAACAGCAAUGGAAACGGGAAUUACUUGAGCAGUGGGAGUAGCUCGGAUUCGAGGAGAGGGAUCAGCCCCAGCCCCCCUUCCGUACCCAGGUCCAGGGGCAGUGAUGACUCCUUCCCAGAAAACUCGAAUGGAUCGGUGUAUACAGAUUCAAUAGUACCAGAGGAUAACAUCAAUGUAACAGUAAGGGUGCGUCCUCUCAAUCCGAAAGAAAUGGGACGGAACGAUCCAAACGUGGUCCAAUUCCCUGGAAAUGGACAAAUUUUGCUUGAAGGUCUGAACUCAGUGCCCGGUUGUACGGGCAACACCAAACUGUUUUCGUUCAAUGUGGUGUUCGAGCCCGGGGCCACACAGGAGGACAUCUUCCAGUUCUCGGGCAUCAAGCGACUCAUCGAGAUGGCAGUGGCGGGGUUCAGCACCACCUGCUUCUGUUAUGGUCAAACAGGCAGUGGCAAAACGCACACACUGACGGGACCACCUGGAUUAUUUGAUCGGAAUCCAGAUCCUUAUUCAGAGAACCAUGGACUGGUGUUCAGGUCAUUCAUGCAUCUAUUUAGACAACUUCAAGAAAGACCUGAAACACAUUUUGUGCUCAAGGCAUCCUUCCUAGAAAUCUACAAUGAAAAGGUUAUAGAUCUAUUAAAUCCUGGCUCAGCACGGAAGCCUCUUGCAGUUAGAUGGUCGAAAAAGACAAGAGGAUUCUUUGUGGAGAAUCUGUUCACAGUGGAUUGCGAGGAACUGGACGAUUUGCUAGCAGUUCUUGAAGAAGGAAUGAGAAACAGAUCAGUGGGAAGUCACAGCAUGAACGAACAUUCUAGUAGAAGUCAUACGAUACUAACAGUCAAUAUAGUAUCUGAAACACAGAUGGAGAACGGUGUGUUUAUUUCAAAACAGGGUAAAAUAAAUUUUGUAGAUUUAGCCGGCAGUGAAAUGACAAAGAAGACGCAUAGUGAAGGCAAAACGUUAGAGGAAGCUAACAAUAUCAAUAAGAGUCUAAUGGUGCUAGGAUAUUGCAUUGCAUCACUCAGUGAUAGUAAAAAGAAAGGUGGCCACAUACCCUACAGAGACAGCAAACUGACAAAGCUACUGGCUGAUAGCUUAGCAGGCAGUGGUGUCACAUUGAUGAUUGCAUGCAUAUCACCAGCAAAAUCCAAUCUUACAGAGACUCUAAACACAUUACGAUAUGCAGCAAGGGCGAAGAAAAUACGAACGAAACCGAUUAUAGUGAUGGACCCUCGGGAAGCGCUCAUCCUGAGUUUAAAGCGAGAAGUGUCGGCGCUUCAAAACGAGAACGAGCACUUAAGACACGCACUGCACUUGGCUGCCGAUCCCAACAGGUUGCUAGGAAGCAAAGUGGAGCUGCGCACUCCGCCUAACAUCGACCUGGAGCGAGUGGCGGAGAUGGACGGAGCCGAGUUGGCCGAGUUGGUUCGCCACUACGCCACCGAGAACGAGGCGCUCCGCCACGAAAACGCCGAACUGUUCUCCACGCGCGAACUGCUCUUCCGCGAUCAGGAGCUCGUCUGUCGCGAGAACGAGCGCCUGCUCAAGAAGCUCGAGGAUGUCAACUCGGUCUGUUGCCGGUCUCCGAUCAUCCCCUCGCGCCCUAACUACUCGUCUGAUGACGUCACACUCACCAGCUCCUCCUCCGAGGUGUGGACCAACCCCAUCAACGGAAGCAGCAGCGGGUCACUCAACAAUAUCAACGGACAUGUCAACGGGAUGCACAAAACUAAGGAUAAGGUGGACGGAAGGAUGUCUCCUAAACCUCCUCACAGGCUUCCCGACUCAAUACAAAAAGAGCUGGACAAAUUGCAGAUAGGCAAAACUUUGGAUGGAAUCAAUGAAUCGAUAAAGAAAAGAGCGAGUAGGAAAAGCACUUGGGAAAAUGGAAAAGCUGUGAAAGCUACUGGAGUGAAUGGAGUAAAUGGGUGAGAAAAAUAAUUAUUCGCUGUUAUUUUCCCCAUGACAGGAAUAAUGAAUUCAUGAGUUACAGGAAUCCUGAAGCGAAAGAGAAACCAUCCACCUAAUCACUCCACGAGGAUGAAGAAGAUUUAGAAUUGAAAAUUCAGUUUUGAAUUCUCUCUGAAAAUGAGAUGGGAGAGUGGUAGGGAUGAAGAUUUAGAGAUUGGACUGAAUUGUUACACAAAAUUUACUCAUGUAAAAAUUACUUCCAAAUUAACAGGUUUUUUUA
rnacentral:misc_RNA from 1 species